AUGCACGACAAUGGAGCUAGGAGGAGAAAAUACAGUUGUUGCGCCGAAUCAUGUUGCACAGGUAGGCAUGCACGUCACUUUUAUUAUUUCAACAGUGUGUGCUUGUCAUGUAGUACUAUGUUUGAACUAGGUUUUCAUUUGAAGGUUGUGAGCGGAUGGAUUGGAAUUCCUAUAGCUACGCUUAAUCAAGAGGAGAGUGUCAAGUUAAUCCACUUAGCCGACAGAUUGCAUAAGAGAGUAGUUGGGAAGGAUGAGGCCGUCAAUUUAGUUGCAGAAGCAGUGUUGCGUUCCAGGGUUGGCCUUCACCAAGCUGGCCAACCGAUAGGUUCCUUCCUCUUUUGGGGCACGACGGGUGUUGGAAAAACAGAGCUUGUGAAAGCUCUCGCAGAACAGCUAUUUGAUAGUGAGAAGAUGAGGCUUCGCUUUGAUAUGUAUGAGUAUGUUAGUCCUGAAUCUGUGCUACGUCUCGUUGGAGCACCCCCAAGCUAUCAUGGUUGUCAAAAUGGUGGACAACUCAUCGAGAAAGUUAGGAGGCGCCCAUACAGUGUUAUCCUUUUUGAUGAGGUGGAGAAGGCAUAUCCGUCGGUGUUGAUUGUUUUUCUUCAACUCCUUGACGAUGGUGUGUUGACUGAUGGUAAAGGGCACAAUGUGGAUUUCAAGAAUAGAAUUAUCAUUAUGACUUCAAAUGUUGGGGCAGAGCACCUAAAUGUUCAAAAAUGCUUCAAGCCCGAAUUUCUCAACAGAUUAAGCGAGAUUGUAGUAUUUGAGCCGCUUUUACACUGUCAACUGAAAGAGAUAGUGAAUAUCCAAAUGAAGAGUGCCUUUGCUAGAGUAGCCGGCAAGGGCAUAUCUCUUGUUCUAAGUGAUGCUGCGUUGGAUGUCAAUUUGUCAGAGUCACACAACCCGUUGCCUGGCACACACAACCCUUUGCAUGCGUCCAAUGCAAUGUUGAUGCUGCGGCUGAGCUCCAUUUAUGUUAGCUUUGAGCUUGGUGCAAUGGCGUGCACACACAAUGCUUUGCAUGUGCCCAAUGUUGGUACAGCGUAA
rnacentral:rRNA from 1 species